GGGGACACAUAUUCGCCGUUUUUACACAUCUAUUUAAAACCAAAUAACUGCAGCUUUAUAUAAUAUUUAUCAAAUAAAUUUCAUUAUAGAUGAACAGCAGACAUUUCAAAGAUGUAAAAAACAGAAAUUUAGACCAAUCAGUCAAAAAAUUACUACGAAAAACUUCUUUGAAAAUCGUGUUUUUCAUUCAGGAAAUUGACCGAAAAUCGUUGUCUGUUUUUCGGUCCUUUGCAGUAAGUGCCGCAAUUUUGUUUGAGUUUAAAAAAUAAUCAUAUUUGUUAUACAAUUAUAAUUUAUCGGCAUAUUUCUUCCAUUUCAGCCAUCUUUUGAAGUGUUUACACCUCAAAAUCAUAAAACUGCGAAAUUGUGUCCCCGGCGAAUAUGUGCCCCCC
rnacentral:lncRNA from 1 species